rnacentral:rRNA from 1 species
GGUACCGUAAGAAUAAGGACCGGCUAACUCCGUGCCAGCAGCCGCGGUAAUACGGAGGGUCCGAGCGUUAUCCGGAAUCAUUGGGUUUAAAGGGUCCGUAGGCGGGCCUGUAAGUCAGGGGUGAAAGUUUGUGGCUCAACCAUAAAAUUGCCUUUGAUACUGCAGGUCUUGAGUCAUGGUGGGGUUGCCGGAACAUGUGGUGUAGCGGUGAAAUGCAUAGAUAUCACAUAGAACACCGAUCGCGAAGGCAGGUGACCAACCAUGUACUGACGCUGAUGGACGAAAGCGUGGGUAGCGAACGGGAUUAGAUACCCCGGUAGUCCACGCCGUAAACGAUGGAUACUAGCUGUGGGGACUUCGGUCUCCGUGGCCAAGCGAAAGUGAUAAGUAUCCCACCUGGGGAGUACGUUCGCAAGAAUGAAACUCAAAGGAAUUGACGGGGGCCCGCACAAGCGGUGGAGCAUGUGGUUUAAUUCGAUGAUACGCGAGGAACCUUACCAGGGCUUAAAUGCAGGCUGCAUGGGGUAGAGAUACCCCUUUCUUCGGACCGCCUGCAAGGUGCUGCAUGGUUGUCGUCAGCUCGUGCCGUGAGGUGUCAGGUUAAGUCCUAUAACGAGCGCAACCCCUACCGUUAGUUGCCAGCAUGUCAAGAUGGGGACUCUAACGGGACUGCCGGUGCAAACCGUGAGGAAGGUGGGGACGACGUCAAAUCAUCACGGCCCUUACGUCCUGGGCUACACACGUGCUACAAUGGCCGGUACAGAGGGAAGCCACCCCGCAAGGGGGCGCGGAUCUACAAAACCGGUCACAGUUCGGAUCGGGGUCUGCAACUCGACCCCGUGAAGCUGGAAUCGCUAGUAAUCGGAUAUCAGCCAUGAUCCGGUGAAUACGUUCCCGGGCCUUGUACAC